AGCAGCCGCGGUAAUUCCAGCUCCAAUAGCGUAUAUUAAAGUUGUUGCAGUUAAAAAGCUCGUAGUUGAAUUUCGGGAUCAAUUUGCUGGUCGUGCCUUCGGUACGCACUGGUAUUAUUGGUUUCUCCUUUCUGAUGAAUCGCGAUGUCAUUAAUUUGGUGUCGUGGGGAAUCAGGACUGUUACUUUGAAAAAUUAGAGUGUUUAAAGCAGGCUCACGCUUGAAUACAUUAGCAUGGAAUAAUGAAAUAGGACGUUUGAUUCUAUUUUGUUGGUUUCUAGGAUCGACGUAAUGAUUAAUAGGGAUAGUUGGGGGCAUUAGUAUUCAAUUGUCAGAGGUGAAAUUCUUGGAUUUAUUGAAGACUAACUACUGCGAAAGCAUUUGCCAAGGAUGUUUUCAUUAAUCAAGAACGAAAGUUAGGGGAUCGAAGACGAUCAGAUACCGUCGUAGUCUUAACCAUAAACUAUGCCGACUAGGGAUCGGAUGAUGUUAAUUUUAAUGA
rnacentral:rRNA from 1 species